GAUUUCAACUGAACAAGUCAUUAACAAUAAAGUGGUAUAACUCAUCAAUAUCUAUAACUUUUAUUUGGGUCAUUUCUUCAUCUGACAAAGUGAUUUGUAACAUUGUUCACAAAAUGUAUAUAUUUUUUAUAUACUUUAUAAACUAUAAGAGGGAUAUAUAAAUUUUGUUAACAAUAUUACUAUUACUUUAUCGGAUGAAGAAAUGACCAAAAUAAAAGUUAUAGAUAUUGAUGAGUUAUACAAUUUUGAUGUUGAUGACUUUUUCAGUUGAAAUC
rnacentral:pre_miRNA from 1 species